GGGGAGGUAACUUAUAGUAAAGUAACGGGCUCAUGACCCGGGAAAGGUUAAUAGCCCCACCCCA
rnacentral:tRNA from 1 species